rnacentral:rRNA from 1 species
GGACUGGUGAGUAACGCGUGAGGAACCUGCCUUCCAGAGGGGGACAACAGUUGGAAACGACUGCUAAUACCGCAUGACGCAUGACCGGGGCAUCCCGGGCAUGUCAAAGAUUUUAUCGCUGGAAGAUGGCCUCGCGUCUGAUUAGCUAGAUGGUGGGGUAACGGCCCACCAUGGCGACGAUCAGUAGCCGGACUGAGAGGUUGACCGGCCACAUUGGGACUGAGAUACGGCCCAGACUCCUACGGGAGGCAGCAGUGGGGAAUAUUGGGCAAUGGACGCAAGUCUGACCCAGCAACGCCGCGUGAAGGAAGAAGGCUUUCGGGUUGUAAACUUCUUUUGUCAGGGAAGAGUAGAAGACGGUACCUGACGAAUAAGCCACGGCUAACUACGUGCCAGCAGCCGCGGUAAUACGUAGGUGGCAAGCGUUGUCCGGAUUUACUGGGUGU